rnacentral:rRNA from 1 species
UACGAAGGGGGCUAGCGUUGUUCGGAAUUACUGGGCGUAAAGCGCGCGCAGGCGGUCCUUCAAGUCAGAGGUGAAAGCCCAGAGCUCAACUCUGGAAUGGCCUUUGAGACUAGAGGACUUGGGUACGGGAGAGGUGAGUGGAAUUCCGAGUGUAGAGGUGAAAUUCGUAGAUAUUCGGAAGAACACCAGUGGCGAAGGCGGCUCACUGGCCCGUUACCGACGCUCAUGCGCGACAGCGUGGGGAGCAAACAGG